AGGAGGCGGGCGCCACGGCUCGGGUCGGCGGCACUGGCUGCGGGCGUCGGGCGAGGGGCGAGGGAGCCCCCCCAGCCCCCGCUGGCGCCCGCAACUCGGGGCCCCGUCCGGGAGCUGCAGCGGCCACACUUCGCGCAGACACGCGCGCGGGGGAGGGGAGGGUGACAGAACCGACCCGGGAAGCUGGCCUUGGGCGCACGGGACCCCUCACCUGCCGAGGCAAGUAGGGAGCCAGUGGCCCACCCGGAUAGACGCGCCACUAGAGAGCCUUCAGGCGCUGAGGCAAGGGUCCCUCCCGGGCGUGGAAAAUUCUCGCUUCAACUUGUGGGUCCAGAGUGUGAAUCAAGAAUAACAUGGCAACCGAGCCUGGGGAGCCAUGGACCCAUCCUGAGUCUUGGACCACCAUUCAUGCUGUCUAUCCUCUACCUUAGAAGUGUUCUCGGAGGGAAACAUUGCAUCUUUGAAGUGUCAAGUCGAUUUGAUUACUCUCAGGUAUGUGAGAA